GGGGCUGUAGCUCAGGAGAACACCUGCCUGGCAUGCAGAAGGCCCCAGGCUCAAUCCCUGGCAUCUCCA